UAAGGAAUAUUGGUCAAUGGACGCAAGUCUGAACCAGCCAUGCCGCGUGAAGGAUGAAGGUCCUCUGGAUUGUAAACUUCUUUUAUCUGGGACGAAAACGGGAUUUUUAUCUCAAUUGACGGUACCAGAGGAAUAAGCACCGGCUAACUCCGUGCCAGCAGCCGCGUUAAUACGGAGGGUGCGAGCGUUACCCGGAUUUACUGGGAUUAAAGGGUGCGUAGGUGGGCUUAUAAGUCAGUGGUGAAAUCUCCGAGCUUAACUUGGAAACUGCCGUUGAUACUAUAGGUCUUGAAUUAUCUGGAGGUAAGCGGAAUAUGUCAUGUAGCGGUGAAAUGCUUAGAUAUGACAUAGAACACCGAUGGCGAAGGCAGCUUACUACAUAUAAAUUGACGCUGAGGCACGAAAGCGUGGGGAUCAAACA
rnacentral:rRNA from 1 species